rnacentral:rRNA from 1 species
CGCGUAGGCGGUCUGUUAUGUCAGGUGUGAAAGUCCAUGGCUCAACCAUGGAAGUGCAUUUGAAACUGACAGACUUGAGUACUGGAGGGGGUGGUGGAAUUCCCGGUGUAGAGGUGAAAUUCGUAGAUAUCGGGAGGAAUACCGGUGGCGAAGGCGACCACCUGGCCAGAUACUGACGCUGAGGUGCGAAAGCGUGGGGAGCAAACA